rnacentral:lncRNA from 1 species
GGGACUACAGGCAUGCACCACUGUGCCCAGCCCUCCCCUUCAUAGCUGUCUCUUUGCCUUACAAAUUCUGUUAAAGUUGUGAGAGCUGAGCACACUUUGCUCACUGUGAUUGUGGGUUUUGCCACUGAAAAUGGCAGUCCCACGCAGGAGAGACACAGGAUGCUUUCCUCCCCCGAUACAUGGGGCAAAUGGCUCUCUGCUCCCUGAGUGGAGGGCAGCAGUUUUGGGGAUUUUUGUACUCCUCUAGCUCAGCUCCAUUUGAAACUCAGCCUGUUGAUGUUCUCUGGGAUCUAGGGCCAAGCUCUCUAGCAUCUGACCUUGUCCUGCGACCUUCCACCUGCACUUGCUGUCACUCUGAGUUUUUUGUUCUCACCAGCAUUUGCUGAAGCAUCAUCCUUGUUUAUCUGCCCUGCCUGGGCCUUUUAACACAGGUGAACUCACCUUUGUAUAACAUGCGAUGGUUAAGAGCAGGCUCUGGAGUCAGGCUGUGUGGGUUCAAAUCUCAGCUACACUGUUUACUGGUGUGCUCUUGGGCAAAUUACUUAACCAGUUUUGGCCUGUUUCCUCGUCUGUAGAAUGGAUAUAUAAAAUGAUAGGAAGAUCAGAGAAAAUACUUGUGCUGGGAUCCGAAGGAAGAGGGGAAGAAGAGAGAAGGAAGGGAAUCACAGACAGAAGCAAAUAGCGUGUGCAAAGCCCUGUAGCAGCAAGAAGAGGCAGGGAGACUUGAGAGAAGGCCCAGGACUGCAAAGAGGCGACAGCUUGGCUCGCUCAGCCUCUUUUGUUGUGUGUCUUCCUGUACUAGAGAGACUCAGAAGCUAGAUGUCUCUGAAGCCAAGGGUGCAGGUCAGAUGCGACUUAGGCUCUACCAAUCAGAUGUACCAUGGAUGUUAAUGUUCUAAGUCAGGGGCCAUGUUUCUCUGGUCUUUGGACAAGCAGAGUCAAGGAGGUAUUUGUUUUUCCACAGCAGCUGUUGCAGAGGGCUCAGCGUCUAGAUCCAUGUGUUGUGAUUGUAGGGGAAGAGCUUGGGUCACCCAUUCUGCGGCAUGGGUCAGGGUAGAGUACUGUCCUUCCUGGAGCCGGCAGGGGUGGUGGCCACCUGAUUUCCCAGCUUCUUGAUUAUGGUGGUGGCUGCAGCUCCCCUGGCAGGCCAGUUCUGCAGUGUUCUUCUGGGGAUCAUUUCUGGAAGCUCAGCCUAGAGUCAGCCUCUCCAACCCUCCCAACACUGGUGUAAGUACCUUUCCCUUGUAUUAAAUUCCUUUCUUCCUAAACAAGCUGCUGCAGUUCCUGUGAUCUGAAACGGAGACUGACUGUGGUGUAUUAAAGCGAAACAUAAAGUUUUCCCAUUGAGAAAUGAAGCUUAUUUUGCCUCCCUUCAAUUGGCACCAGCCCUGUGACUGCUUAACCAAAAAGAAAGUGGUGGAACUGAUGCUCGUCAAUUCUAGGCCUAGCCUGGAAAUUAAGAGCUACUGGAAUGCUCACUCUUGAGACACUCUGUCUCAGAACCCAGCUGGCAUGCUGUGAGAAGCCCCAGCCACAUGGAGGGCUGCAUGUUGGCACUCCAGGCAACAGCCCCAGUUGAACUCCCAGGCAACAGCCAUCAUCAACCAUCAGACAUGCCCGGCAGAGUCCAUCUCCUGGGCCAGACCCACUUCGGCUGUCCUUCUGUGUCUGCCACCCUCCCCCACCCCAGACACCUGGAGCCCAUCAGAGUGCCUGGCACCACAGCAGCUGCAUGUGCCCAUAGAGGGGACAGCCUCUCUCACCCCUGCGCCUCAGACCUCACCAGUGUUUCCAUCAGACACAGUAACUGGGCGCAGGGAAGGCAAAGAAGGGAAGGGAAGCACUCUGCUGUCAUCAGCUCCGCCUCACCUCGGUAUCUGCAGAUAAUCACUGAGCCAUUGGGGGUUCUGCAGCAUAAACUGGGUUACUUUCAUCUUUCCCCAUUGGUAAUUUAGGGUUCAGCGUUCUUUAUUUUUAUUUAUUUAUUUUUUUGAGACAGAGUCUCACCCUGUGGUCCAGGCUGGAGUGCAGUGGCAUGAUUUUGGCUCACUGCAACCUCCGCCUCUCGGGUUCAAGCGAUUCUCUUGCCUCAGCCUCCUGAGUAGCUGGGAUUAUAGGCACAUGCCACCACGCCCAGCUAAUUUUUAUAUUUUUAGUAGAGGCAGGGUUUCACUAUGUUGGCCAGGCUGGUCUCAAACUCCUGGCCUCGAGUGAUCCACCUGCCUCGGCCUCCCAAAGCGUUGGGAUUACAGGUGUGAGCCACUGCACCCGGUGGGUUCAGGGUUCUUGCUUCUGCUAAGUUAUAGGCCAUCGAUCUGCUUUUCUCUCUUCCAAAUUUUUCUAAUGUCAUCUCCUCUUUUGUGAUAAUUAUCCUCAUGAUUUUAUGUCUUUAAAAAAUAAUCCCCUCUCCCUCUCCCUCUCCCUCUCCCUCUCCCCACGGUCUCCCUCUCCCUCUCUUUCCACGGUCUCCCUCUGAUGCCGAGCCGAAGCUGGACUGUAC